UGCCUUACAAGUAGUUGUAAGGGUUGGAGAUUGUUGUCAACAGUUCUUCCACCAGCUCAGCUGAGCGGGUCUG
rnacentral:ncRNA from 1 species